AUGGUGUAGUUCAGUGGUACAGUGCAUGCUUUGUGUGUUUGGUGUCCUGGGUUCAAUCCCCAGCUACUCUC